rnacentral:lncRNA from 1 species
CUUAAAGAAACAUGGAUGAGUGAAUUCCCUUCUUGAAGAUUCAUGAACAAGACCCAGAAGGGUCCUUUUCCACCACGGGAGUUAUUCAGUCUACAGAAACCUGCGGAAAGUGAAUUACUCAACUGAAUUUGCAGUUUUAUUUCGUUUUUGGUGACACUAAGUGCCUUGACCUAUUUCAUGCUGCUAUAACAAAAUACUAUAGACMGAGUCAUCUGUGAAGAAUGGAAAUCUAUUUCUCGAAGUUCUGGAAGCCGGGAAGUGCAAGAUCAAGG